AGGGAAUCUUCGGCAAUGGACGGAAGUCUGACCGAGCAACGCCGCGUGAGUGAAGAAGGUUUUCGGAUCGUAAAGCUCUGUUGUAAGAGAAGAACGAGUGUGAGAGUGGAAAGUUCACACUGUGACGGUAUCUUACCAGAAAGGGACGGCUAACUACGUGCCAGCAGCCGCGGUAAUACGUAGGUCCUGAGCGUUGUCCGGAUUUAUUGGGCGUAAAGCGAGCGCAGGCGGUUAGAUAAGUCUGAAGUUAAAGGCUGUGGCUUAACCAUAGUACGCUUUGGAAACUGUUUAACUUGAGUGCAAGAGGGGAGAGUGGAAUUCCAUGUGUAGCGGUGAAAUGCGUAGAUAUAUGGAGGAACACCGGUGGCGAAAGCGGCUCUCUGGCUUGUAACUGACGCUGAGGCUCGAAAGCGUGGGGAGCAAACAGGAUUAGAUACCCUGGUAGUCCACGCCGUAAACGAUGAGUGCUAGGUGUUAGACCCUUUCCGGGGUUUAGUGCCGCAGCUAACGCAUUAAGCACUCCGCCUGGGGAGUACGACCGCAAGGUUG
rnacentral:rRNA from 1 species